rnacentral:rRNA from 1 species
ACUUUCAGCGACGGAUGUCUUGGCUCCCACAACGAUGAAGAACGCAGCGAAAUGCGAUACGUCUUGCGACUUGCAUAAUCCAGUGAAUCAUCAAAACUUUGAACGCAUCUUGCGCUUCCGGGAUACUCCUGGGAGCAUGCUUGUCGGAGUGUC